rnacentral:rRNA from 1 species
AUUGAACGCUGGCGGCAGGCCUAACACAUGCAAGUCGAACGGUAACAGGAAGCAGCUUGCUGCUUUGCUGACGAGUGGCGGACGGGUGAGUAAUGUCUGGGAAACUGCCUGAUGGAGGGGGAUAACUACUGGAAACGGUAGCUAAUACCGCAUAACGUCGCAAGACCAAAGAGGGGGACCUUAGGGCCUCUUGCCAUCGGAUGUGCCCAGAUGGGAUUAGCUAGUAGGUGGGGUAACGGCUCACCUCGGCGACGAUCCCUAGCUGGUCUGAGAGGAUGACCAGCCACACUGGAACGGAGACACGGUCCAGCCUCCUACGGGAGGCAGCAGUGGGGAAUAUUGCACAAGGGGCGCAAGCCUGAUGCAGCAAUCCCGCGUGGGUGAAGAAGGCCUUCGGGUUGUAAAGUCCUUUCGUGGGGGAGGAAGGGAAACAGGUUAAUCCCUCGCUGCUUUGACGUUACCCAAAGAAGAAGCACCGGCUAACCCCGUG